AAGCACUGUAUUUGAACCUGUUAAGCCCCUUCAUGGCUCAAUGGGUCAAGCAACAGUGCAACAGUAAAAGUCUGUUAUAACUGGAGCUUCUUGGAUUCCCCCCCCCAAGUUGCUCUUUUAAAAGCAGUCGAUAACU
ensembl:snoRNA small nucleolar RNA SNORA50